AGAAUCAACGCUGGCGGCGUGCCUAACACAUGCAAGUCGAACGAGAAAGUGGAGCAAUCCAUGAGUAAAGUGGCGCACGGGUGAGUAACACGUGACUAACCUACCUUUUAGUGGGGGAUAACCUAGGGAAACCUGGGCUAAUACCGCAUAAUACUUACGAGUCAAAGCAGCAAUGCGCUGAAAGAGGGGGUCGCGGUCGAUUAGUUAGUUGGCAGGGUAAUGGCCUACCAAGACUGUGAUCGAUAUCCGGCCUGAGAGGGCGCACGGACACACUGGAACUGAAACACGGUCCAGACUCCUACGGGAGGCAGCAGUGGGGAAUUUUGCGCAAUGGGGGAAACCCUGACGCAGCAACGCCGCGUGGAGGAUGAAGUCCCUUGGGACGUAAACUCCUUUCGAUCGGGACGAUAAUGACGGUACCGGAAGAAGAAGCCCGGCUAACUUCGUGCCAGCAGCCGC
rnacentral:rRNA from 1 species